rnacentral:rRNA from 1 species
GACGAACGCUGGCGGCGUGCUUAACACAUGCCAGUCGAACGGAAAGGCCCUGCUUUUGUGGGGUGCUCGAGUGGCGAACGAGUGAGUAACACGUGAGUAACCUGCCCUUGACUUUGGGAUAACUUCAGGAAACUGGGGCUAAUACCGGAUAGGAGCUCCUGCUGCAUGGUGGGGGUUGGAAAGUUUCGGCGGUUGGGGAUGGACUCGCGGCUUAUCAGCUUGUUGGUGGGGUAGUGGCUUACCAAGGCUUUGACGGGUAGCCGGCCUGAGAGGGUGAACGGCCACAUUGGGACUGAGAUACGGACCAGACGCCUACGGGAGGCAGCAGUGGGGAAUAUUGCACAAUGGGCGGAAGCCUGAUGAAGCAACGCCGCGUGCGGGAUGACGGCCUUCGGGUUGUAAACCGCUUUCGCCUGUGACGAAGCGUGAGUGACGGUAAUGGUUAAAGAAGCACCGGCUAACUACGUG